UAAACGACUCUCGGCAACGGAUAUCUCGGCUCUCGCAUCGAUGAAGAACGUAGCGAAACGCGAUACUUGGUGUGAAUUGCAGAAUCCCGCGAACCAUCGAGUCUUUGAACGCAAGUUGCGCCCGAAGCCAUUAGGUUGAGGGCACGUCUGCCUGGGCGUCUCAC
rnacentral:rRNA from 1 species